AUUGAACGCUGGCGGCAUGCCUUACACAUGCAAGUCGAACGGCAGCACGGGAGCAAUCCUGGUGGCGAGUGGCGAACGGGUGAGUAAUAUAUCGGAACGUGCCCAGUCGUGGGGAUAACGUAGCGAAAGCUACGCUAAUACCGCAUACGAUCUAUGGAUGAAAGCGGGGGAUCGCAAGACCUCGCGCGAUUGGAGCGGCCGAUAUCAGAUUAGGUAGUUGGUGAGGUAAAGGCUCACCAAGCCGACGAUCUGUAGCUGGUCUGAGAGGACGACCAGCCACACUGGGACUGAGACACGGCCCAGACUCCUACGGGAGGCAGCAGUGGGGAAUUUUGGACAAUGGGCGCAAGCCUCGAUCCAGCAAUGCCGCGUGCAGGAUGAAGGCC
rnacentral:rRNA from 1 species